rnacentral:misc_RNA from 1 species
UCCGAGUUGACCCCGGCAGUCUCCGAUGAGUCCCCGACAUGACUCGCUGGCAACAUCGGACAGGGGUUGCGCUCGUUGCGCCACUUAAGGCAACACCUCACGGCACGAGCUGACGACAGCCAUGCAGCACCUGUGCGGGCUCCCGAAGGAGGACCGUGUUUCCACGGCUUCACCCCGCAUGUCAAGCCCUGGUAAGGUUCUUCGCGUCGCAUCGAAUUAAACAACAUGCUCCGCUGCUUGUGCGGGUCCCCGUCAAUUCCUUUGAGUUUUAGCCUUGCGGCCGUACUCCCCAGGCGGGGUGCUUAAUGCGUUAGCUUCGGCACGGACGGAGUCGACACCGCCCACACCUAGCACCCAUCGUUUACGGCGUGGACUAC